rnacentral:rRNA from 1 species
GACGAACGCUGGCGGCGUGCUUAACACAUGCAAGUCGAACGGAAAGGCCCUGCUUUUGUGGGGUGCUCGAGUGGCGAACGGGUGAGUAACACGUGAGUAACCUGCCCUUGACUUUGGGAUAACUUUAGGAAAAUGGGGCUAAUACCGGAUAGGAGCUCCUGCUGCAUGGUGGGGGUUGGAAAGUUUCGGCGGUUGGGGAUGGACUCGCGGCUUAUCAGCUUGUUGGUGGGGUAGGGGCUUACCAAGCCUUUGACGGGUAGCCGGCCUGGGAGGGUGACCGGCCACAUUGGGACUGAGGUACGGCCCAGAAGCCUACGGGAGGCAGCAGGGGGGAAUAUUGCACAAUGGGCGGAAGCCUGAGGCAGAGACGCCGCGUGCGGGAUGACGGCCUUCGGGUUAUAAACCGCUUUCGCAUGUGACAAAGAGUGAGUGACGGUAAUGGGUAAAGAAGCACCGGCUAACUACGUG